GGUUAAGUGACUAAGCGUACACGGUGGAUGCCUUGGCAGUCAGAGGCGAUGAAAGACGUAGUAACUUGCGAUAAGCCCAGAUUAGGUAGUAACAACCAUUUGAGUCUGGGAUUUCUGAAUGGGGAAACCCACGUGCAUAAGCACGUAUCCUUACCUGAAUACAUAGGGUAAGGAGGCGAACCGGGGGAACUGAAACAUCUAAGUACCCCGAGGAAAAGAAAUCAACCGAGAUUCCGAAAGUAGCGGCGAGCGAAAUUGGACUAGCCCUUAAGCUUUACACGCGUUAGACGAACGGUCUGGAAAGUCCGACGAUACAGGGUGAUAGUCCCGUAGUUGACGACGUGUGUUCAGUGAAAUCGAGUAGGGCGGGACACGUGAUAUCCUGUCUGAAUAUGGGGGGACCAUCCUCCAAGGCUAAAUACUACUGACUGACCGAUAGUGAACCAGUACCGUGAGGGAAAGGCGAAAAGAACCCCUGUGAGGGGAGUGAAAUAGAACCUGAAACCGUGUACGUACAAGCAGUAGGAGCAGGCUUUGUCCUGUGACUGCGUACCUUUUGUAUAAUGGGUCAGCGACUUAUAUUCAGUGGCAAGGUUAACCAUCUAGGGGAGCCGUAGGGAAACCGAGUCUUAACUGGGCGUUCAGUCUCUGGAUAUAGACCCGAAACCAGGUGAUCUAGCCAUGGGCAGGUUGAAGGUUGAGUAACAUCAACUGGAGGACCGAACCGACUAAUGUUGAAAAAUUAGCGGAUGACUUGUGGCUAGGGGUGAAAGGCCAAUCAAACCUGGAGAUAGCUGGUUCUCCCCGAAAGCUAUUUAGGUAGCGCCUCGGACGAAUACUACUGGGGGUAGAGCACUGUUAAGGCUAGGGGGUCAUCCCGACUUACCAACCCUUUGCAAACUCCGAAUACCAGUAAGUACUAUCCGGGAGACACACGGCGGGUGCUAACGUCCGUCGUGGAGAGGGAAACAACCCAGACCGCCAGCUAAGGUCCCAAAUUACUACUAAGUGGGAAACGAUGUGGGAAGGCUCAGACAGCCAGGAUGUUGGCUUAGAAGCAGCCAUCAUUUAAAGAAAGCGUAAUAGCUCACUGGUCGAGUCGGCCUGCGCGGAAGAUGUAACGGGGCUAAGUAGUAAACCGAAGCUGCGGCAAUGUGCUUUUGCACAUUGGGUAGGGGAGCGUUCUGUAAGCGGUUGAAGGUGUGUGGUAACGCAUGCUGGACGUAUCAGAAGUGCGAAUGCUGACAUGAGUAACGAUAAAGGGGGUGAAAAACCUCCUCGCCGGAAGACCAAGGGUUCCUGUCCAACGUUAAUCGGGGCAGGGUAAGUCGACCCCUAAGGCGAGGCCGAAAGGCGUAGUCGAUGGGAAACGGGUUAAUAUUCCCGUACUUCUUACAAUUGCGAUGGGGGGACGGAGAAGGCUAGGUGGGCCUGGCGACGGUUGUC
rnacentral:rRNA from 1 species